CAACGCUUCCUGAUUUUCCAUAUUUUUAAUUUCUGAUUUUAUUUUCUUUAAUUCCUUUUUAUUUCAAAAAUUCAUAACUCUCUCAUUUUUAAUCCAAAAAAUAUGGGACCAAUUGCAUUAGUUUCCAAAUAAUUUCUAGUUUCUUAAAAUGAUUUUUAAUAUUUUUUAUUUUGUCAUUUGAUAUUUUUUAAUGAAUUUUCUCUUUUCUGGUUGUUUUUAAUUCAUUUUAAAUAG
rnacentral:lncRNA from 1 species